UACGGAGGGGGCUAGCGUUGUUCGGAAUUACUGGGCGUAAAGCGCGCGUAGGCGGCUUUGUAAGUCAGAGGUGAAAGCCUGGAGCUCAACUCCAGAACUGCCUUUGAGACUGCAUCGCUAGAAUCAUGGAGAGGUGAGUGGAAUUCCGAGUGUAGAGGUGAAAUUCGUAGAUAUUCGGAAGAACACCAGUGGCGAAGGCGACUCACUGGACAUGUAUUGACGCUGAGGUGCGAAAGCGUGGGAGCAAACAGG
rnacentral:rRNA from 1 species